rnacentral:rRNA from 1 species
UACAGAGGUCCCAAGCGUUGUUCGGAUUCACUGGGCGUAAAGGGUGCGUAGGUGGCCAGGUAAGUUUGGUGUGAAAGCUCGGAGCUUAACUCCGAAAUGGCAUUGAAUACUAUCUGGCUGGAGGGUCGGAGGGGAGACUGGAAUUCUCGGUGUAGCAGUGAAAUGCGUAGAUAUCGAGAGGAACACCAGUGGCGAAGGCGAGUCUCUGGACGACACCUGACACUGAGGCACGAAAGCUAAGGGGAGCAAACAGG